UACGGAGGGGGCUAGCGUUGUUCGGAAUUACUGGGCGUAAAGCGCGCGUAGGCGGCUUUGCAAGUUAGAGGUGAAAGCCCGGAGCUCAACUCCGGAAUUGCCUUUAAGACUGCAUCGCUUGAAUCAUGGAGAGGUGAGUGGAAUUCCGAGUGUAGAGGUGAAAUUCGUAGAUAUUCGGAAGAACACCAGUGGCGAAGGCGACUCACUGGACAUGUAUUGACGCUGAGGUGCGAAAGCGUGGGGAGCAAACAGG
rnacentral:rRNA from 1 species